UAAAGGUUCAGACAGAGCUGGAGGUCAGGAGAAACAGCACUGUGAUCUGACUGGAAAUGUGACCAGAUGAACGGUGAUCGGAUUAAAGUGUCGGUGAUCGGGUUGGACUCACAGUGGCUGGAUCCGCUCCAGUGCCUCCCGGACACCAGGGACCCUCCGAACGGCCGCUGGAGCCCCGCCGCCCCGCCGCCCGCCGCCCCGGACAGCAGCCCCUUGUCCGGCCCCAGCCCCGGGGGCCGGUGGUAGUAGUCCAUGCUGAGGAAGGAGCCGGGACUCGGGCUGCCGGGGCCGGGACCGGGGCUCAGACCCACCACGUCCAGGCUUUCGUACAUGUCUCCCGGUCCGGCAGCACCUCCUCCCCGGGAGAGAGGAGCCGAGCGGUCCGGAGGAAGACAGGAGGAGAGAGGAGGAGGAGGAGGAGGAGGAGGAGGGGGGACCGCUCACAUCUUCAGGGGAGAGGAGGAGGAGGAGGAGGAGAGGGGACCGCUCACAUCUUCAGGGGAGAGGAGGAGGAGGAGGAGCGGAGGAGGUGACCUCCUGCACCGGGGACCGAGCACCGGGGACCGGGGACCGAGCACCGGGGACCGCGGACCGCACCGCCAACUUCCACCAACUUCCCCGUCCUGCACGCCCCUGGUCCGGCCAGCAGCCCGCACCGAGAGCCACAAGUGCUCCGGAUCCAACCGAGUCCCCGCUAAACACACAAAACCCCGGAGAUCAACACCCCGCGGGCCGGUACCGGGGCACCGGAGAGCCGCUCCGGGUCUCUCCCGGGAGCCGCCGGAGGGAAGCCGGAAAGCAGAGCUCCGUGUCGGCGGCAGUCCGAGCGGCUGGUCCCCCGGUCUGCUCCCGAAUGUCCCAGAGUCAGAGGACAGAGAGGAGACGGGGAGAGGCGGGAGACCGGGUCCGGUUCACGGUCCAGAGGAACUCCCCGAGCGGCCGAAUAUUCCAGAGGGGCACGCCGGAGAGCGAGCGGCACGGCCGGGGAGGGAGCGAGGCAGUCCGGGGGGGAGAGAGCGGGAAAGGUCCGGGGGGAGGACCGAGAGAAGCGAGAGAGUCCGGGCAGAGCACCGCGGCGGUCCGGGGAGAGAGAGGCUGUCUGGAGCCGCUUGUUGCUGGUUGGUGAAUUAUGGGGGUUAGAUUCUUCAUCUGCAGCUUGAAGAUGUUACAAACAUCCUCCUGUGGCGUCGAUGUUCUGGAACGAUCAACACAGAGAGAGAAACUGGGACUGGCAGCCGCUCAGACCCUUGAGCAGCUCAACUUGAAAAAGUUGGAUGGUUCAAAUUCCACAUUCGU
rnacentral:lncRNA from 1 species